rnacentral:rRNA from 1 species
UACGUAGGGACCAAGCGUUGUUCGGAUUUACUGGGCGUAAAGAGCGCGCAGGCGGUCGUGCAAGUCGCGUGUGAAAGCCCCCGGCUCAACUGGGGAGGGUCACGCGAUACUGCUCGACUCGAAGGCAGGAGAGGGAAGUGGAAUUCCCGGUGUAGUGGUGAAAUGCGUAGAUAUCGGGAGGAACACCAGUGGCGAAGGCGACUUCCUGGCCUGUUCUUGACGCUGAGGCGCGAAAGCUAGGGUAGCAAACGGG